rnacentral:rRNA from 1 species
UGAGACUUAGAGUCUCCUGAAGGAACGUUGAAGACGACGACGUUGAUAGGCCGGGUGUGUAAGCGCAGCGAUGCGUUGAGCUAACCGGUACUAAUGAACCGUGAGGCUUAACCUUACAACGCCGAAGGUGUUU